rnacentral:rRNA from 1 species
UACGGGGGGGGCAAGCGUUGUCCGGAUUUAUUGGGCGUAAAGAGCGUGUAGGCGGCCAGGUAGGUCUGGUGUGAAAACUCGAGGCUUGACCUCGAGAUGUCAUCGGAAACCAUCUGGCUAGAGUCCGGAAGAGGAGAGUGGAAUUCCUGGUGUAGCGGUGAAAUGCGCAGAUAUCAGGAAGAACACCAAUGGCGAAAGCAGCUCUCUGGGACGGUACUGACGCUGAGACGCGAAAGCGUGGGGAGCGAACAGG